UUUGCCGUAGUGUCGUGCACCUAACCUCGUCCUCGUGUAUGAAAUAAUUUGUUUGCUUACUGUAGAAUUAAAUACAGCUAUGAUUUAAUACUUAAUAUUGCAUAAUACAAUAAUACAUUAUGGAAAGGAAACCAAAGGGCUGAGCUGAAAAACUUCGUUUAAAAAAACUGGUAAAUUUGCAGGCUAUUGCCAAUGAGUCAAAACAAAAUUUAUUUUGAACUUAUUCGUUGAUGAUUGUGUAACGCAACCAAAAUACUAAAGUUGCUUAACUGUAGCUGUAAGAGAAAAUUCUUUGCUUGCCGAGACGGCAUCGAGUUUCACUUUCGUUGAGUCAGUUUGAUCAUCGUCCAAUUCGUGUGUUGUAACAACCAGGGUUCCUUGCAGACGAGCGCGCGUUAAUCGUUCGAAGACGCACUAUCGUUCGCCACCGUUUCGUGCGCGGAAUAACACGGCUACCUGGUCUUUUCGAUCGGUAUGUUGUCGCGGUAACAUCUGUGAAUACAAUAAUAUAAUGUGAUUUCAAAUUUUUUUUGGUAUUUACUCUAAUAGAAAAUUUAUUAUUUUUCCUUAUUAUUGUGAGUUGAGAGCCCUAAGGGUUAAUUUUUAUCAUAUACAUAGGUACAAAUCGGCAUUAUUUUAUUAUUUUUAUUAUAUAUUUUUGUAUUGGAGUGAAAAUGAAUCGCCAAUACUCAUUAAAUUAUAUAGGCGAUAUUCGCCACUAUUUUGUGUUCGCUCGAAUCAUCACAUUAAUUUGUUUUACUUAUUAUAUUGUGUACGCGAAUCGCCACAAAAACUGUAUAAUUUUGUAUGGGCGCUAAUGGCCCUAUUUUUUUUAUAUAUAUUAUCGAUAAUUAUUUGUGUAUUGUGUGUAUCAAUUUGUAUUAUAAGUAUUAUUAUUGCUAGGUAGCAGCUAUAAUGUGCACCGACAAUCUGUGCCGUUUUUAUAUAAUUAUAUAAUUAUACCUUAUUACACACAUAUUUUAUUCUGUUAGGUCAUAAGAGCCGUGUAUUUAUUAUAUUUACUAUUUAUACUUUUCUGAAUGUAAUUUCUUUAUAUACUUGCACUUGUUAAUUAUUACGUAUUAUUAUUAUUAUUACUAUACUGGUUGUGCCAAACCGGCAUUUUAGUCGGACUAUUUAUUUUACAUAAUAUAUUUUACUUGUUAGGCCAAAAGGGCCGUAAC